rnacentral:tRNA from 1 species
GGGUCAUUAGCCAAUUGGAAAGGCAACGGUUCAGCGCCGUCAUAUGUCGGUUCGAUUCCGACAUGACCACCA